GGGUCAGUAGGUUGGUCGUGCCACCGGUACGUACUGGUCUCACUGAUUCCCCCUUCUUGAAGAACCGUAAUGCCAUUAAUUUGGUGUUGCGGGGAAACAGGACUGUUACUUUGAAAAAAUUAGAGUGUUUAAAGCAAGCUAACGCUUGAAUACAUUAGCAUGGAGUAAUGAAAUAGGACGAUCGAUCCUAUUUUGUUGGUUUCUAGGAUUGACGUA
rnacentral:rRNA from 1 species